GCUGGGUGCUGUGGUGCACACCUGUCAUCCCAGCAGCCUGGGAGGCUGAGGCAGGAGGAUCGCAAGGUGGAGGCCAGCCUCAGCAAGUCAGACAGGCCCUGAGCAACUCAGCAAGAUCCUGUCUCUG
rnacentral:sRNA from 1 species